AAACGCAGCGGAGUGGUUGUGACGGUGAGUGAUGAUUUUGAGCUUAAGGGAUUCGCGGUGUGUUUGAGGUGUGCGAGGAGAAAAAAAGCUGAUGGGGGAGCGGCGAAGAAGAGGAACAAUGCCUCCUCCUUUUUUCCUUUUUUUUUUCUGUCGGUUAUAGUAGAGAGAAAGAGUUAGUGUUUAGGAAGGGUGAGAGGUAACGUGAGGAAGAGAAUUUUCUUCUUUUUCACUGCUGAGCCCGAGAUAAAGUGGAGACAGAGCAUUUGACUGGGUGGCGUGUGUUGAGAGAGAUGGAGGUAGCGUGAAGGUGAGAGAUACGCAAGCUGGAUACCAGUCGUCAAAAAAGAGAAUCCAAUGUAAAUUUUAUUUUAUUUUUGUUGAAAACAAUUACUAUUAUAAAAAAAAUCCUAUUAAAAAUUUCUAAUAACUAUUUU
rnacentral:lncRNA from 1 species